UGCUUUACACAUGCAAGUCGAACGGUAGAGGGGGCAACCCCUUGAGAGUGGCGAACGGGUGAGUAAUGCAUCGGAACGUGCCCAGUCGUGGGGGAUAACGCAGAGAAAGUUGUGCUAAUACCGCAUACGAUCUAAGGAUGAAAGCGGGGGAUCGCAAGACCUCGCGCGAUUGGAGUGGCCGAUAUCGGAUUAGGUAGUUGGUGGGGUAAAGGCUCACCAAGCCGACGAUCCGUAGCUGGUCUGAGAGGAUGACCAGCCACACUGGAACUGGGACACGGUCCAGACUCCUACGGGAGGCAGCAGUGGGGAAUUUUGGACAAUGGGGGCAAGUCUGAUCCAGCCAUUCCGCGUGCGUGAAGAAGGCCUUCGGGUUGUAAAGCUA
rnacentral:rRNA from 1 species